CCUAGUCAAGAGAGAAGGCUAUCCUAAGCUUUCAAAAGAUAAUUCAAUUAGCAUGAAGUUCCGAGAAUUUUCAAAGCUCAGGUGCUGACUCAGGUUUUUUGUCUUUUUUUUUUUUCUAGGAAUCAGAAAUGUCAUUCAUAGAUAAGUGCAGGGAGGAGCAAAAUAGAAAGACAGGAAAUUCUUGGCUCUGGGAUCUGGUAAUAAGGGAGCCUGCCACUUUCAAAUUACCUGCUGGAAUCCAGCUCAAGACAAUUAUAGAUGAAAAAUCUUCCUGAUCUUCAGCCACCUACCCAAAAUUGAUGUUGGUUUUACACUUCCUAAAGUUGGAGCAAUGAUUUUCAUGACUUAGGGGAAAGGUAUCCAGUAGAUUCAAGAAGAUCAGGAAGCUUCUCCUGGAAAAAUACUAAAAUUCCAGUUUCUCAAAAAUCUUGGCAGAUUUCCACUAUAGGAAACCCCAUUGUCCAGAGUGGCAGAACCAUCAUUAUCCUAACAGCCAGGAUCCGAUUCUUCUUGAAGAACCGUCCGUCCUGUUGGGGAACUGCUUUGAUAAGCUCUUGGGGUUGGAAGAUGACACUUUCAGAGCACCCUUGUCAGCAGAAGCCAAGGAAACUGACAGCUAAACUUCUCUGCCACCUGCAUAAGAGGAAUUGCUGGGGAGUGGAAGGGGGACAUGGAAAGGAAAAGGAGAAGGUAACCACAGAGAACCCAGAUAGGAGAGAAAGAAAUUAGCCAACCCAGUAUGGCAAGACUGAGGCAUCUCACUGAACAAGACCACAGAACUUCCUCCAAAGACAGUGAGGAAAUAUCUGACCAGCUGAUGAAGAAUAGAGCGUGUGGAAGACAAAGGAGGAACAACCACUCUCAGCUUCUACCUGCCCCUGGGCUGAUGAAGGAGCCUGUAUCAGAGUGAAGGGAUGUACUCUCACCCAGCUACAGAUUGUGAUGAAUCCCUUAUCACCUGACUUUACACCCACUGUCCCCCAAACGCUGGAUUCGGCUGCGAUUGAGAAGAGGGCAAGACAAACUCCUCUGCCUUAUAGUCCUGUAUUCUCAAGUGAUCAGAUUUUAAAAUGUGUCAAAGAUUCCUAUUCACCAGUUCUGACCAUCAAAUGAGCAAAAUGAAUGGGAAGUGCUUCAUUGCCAAUUUAGCCAAAAAUAAGAUGCUAAACACUACCACCUUCUAUGCAUUAUCUAUAAUAAGUGUACAUAACAAACCCAAACCAGUAAUAAAUAAGGCUUCAUUUU